UCGACGAAACAGGGGUGCUUCGCACGCGUUCCGAGCAGAACCGGCGCGCGACGAGGCUGAGAGAAACCCUUUGCACCCGAUCCGGGUAAUACCGGCGAGGGAAGUUUCCGGAAAACGCAU
rnacentral:ncRNA from 2 species